GGAAGUACAGUAAUGUAUGGAGCUGACUGCUACUAAUCGGUCGAGGGCAUGACCAAA
rnacentral:rRNA from 1 species